rnacentral:lncRNA from 1 species
UACAUAGGUGGGUAUAUAAAUAUCUACAUAAAUAAAUUGGUAAUUUAUACUUGUUUAGUUAAUUCCAGUAUUUAAAUAUGCAUUUUAUUCUCUGUGUUGCUCAAAGACUGACUGAAAUAAUUCAACUUAAUGCAUAAUUAAGCAAAAAACAAACAAACAAAAAGCUAUAUAAGAGUAGCAAGAAAAACCAGAGUGAGCUGUCAGGAAGAUAAAAUCAAGACUGUUUUUGUUCUAUGGUAUGGUGAGAGCAAUAGGAAAGCAAUCAAAUUUGAGAACUAAGAUUCUUGCA